rnacentral:rRNA from 1 species
UACGUAGGUGGCAAGCGUUGUCCGGAUUUACUGGGCGUAAAGAGCGCGCAGGCGGUCGUUCAAGUCGCGUGUGAAAGCCCCCGGCUCAACUGGGGAGGGUCACGCGAUACUGAUCGACUCGAAGGCAGGAGAGGAAAGUGGAAUUCCCGGUGUAGUGGUGAAAUGCGUAGAUAUCGGGAGGAACACCAGUGGCGAAGGCGACUUCCUGGCCUGUUCUUGACGCUGAGGCGCGAAAGCUAGGGGAGCAAACGGG